UUUGUGUCCUACCUCCAACUUUUUAUUACUAUUUUUUUCUCUUGAUGUUUGAGUUUUUGAUCUGAAUGAAUUUUUAUCGUUAUUUUUUAUUUUCACCAUCAUUUUCGAAGAAAAAAAUAAAGGUUUUUUCAUUUCUCAUGAAGUGCUUGCUGAACUCCAUGAUUUUUCCUUUAUUGAUCUUUUGGCUGAGGAUUUGGGAGAAAACAUCUUUCCAUUCCUUUCAUUCUGCUAAAAAGAUUCAUCCACUCGAUCUUCUUCUUAAAUUUUUUUAAAGGAAUUCAUCUACUUGAUCUUAUCAACUAGCUGAAUCAAUGAACUAAAAUUAGCUAAAUCUCUCAAAAACACAACAUAUUUUUCUACCCAGGUUUAUCCUCUCUAGCAGCCCCCUUCUCAACUAAUGAGAUUAAAAACGCUAUAUUUACUCUGGCAAAAAACAAAUCAUCUCUAGGCCUAGACGGUUUUCAGAUCUCUUUCUAUCAGAAAUACUGAGACAUUAUUGGGAAUGAUUUACUCAAACUAUUCUCAGCCUUUUUACAAUGGUUCUUGUGGUCUCUUCAGGCUCAACUAUAGUUACAUAUCUCUGAUCCCAAAAAAACAGACCAAGCAAUAGUAAAAGAUUUCUGACCAAUAAGUAUUGAAAAUGGGCUUAUCGGUCAGGUAAAAUGGAAGAGCUCGUUUUUGAUUGCCAAUCCGCCUUCGUCAAAAGAAGAUUAAUUUUGAGAGCUACAUUUUAGCUACAGAGAUUAUUUCCUCCCACGGAGGUUUUGAGAGCAAAUGGAUAGCUUGGAUAAAGGCACUUCUCCAAUCUUCAUACUCUGCCUUAGUCGUUAAUAACUCAGUUGGGAAAUGGUUUCAUAACAAGAAGGGUUUAAAGCAAGGUAACCCCCUUUCACCCCUAUUUUUCAUUCUGGUUACAGACGUUCUCGCCAAAAUUUUUAAGGCUACCAACUUCGAAAGGUUGAUUCAUGGAAUUGGUCCUCCUGGCUUCGAAUAGUGUUUAUAGUUUGCCGACGACACCCUAAUCUUUUGGAAGCUGGUUUAUCUCCAGCUAAUCUUGUACAGCUUCGAAAUGGCAACGAGAUUAAGCAUCAACUUCUACAAAACUCAACUCAUUGGCCUAGGUGUCAGCGAAUCUCACUACACUGCUAAGCUAUAAGGUCUCUUACCUUCCCACUCGUUAUUUGGGUCUUCCUUUGCACCACUCUAGGCUGAACAAAAGCGAUCAGAUCUUUCUUAUUGACAAAAUUACAAAGAAAUUGAGUGGAUGGAAAUAGAAAACUCUAACACUUGCUGCUUGAAUCACCCUAACAAACUCAGUUCUAAAUGCCAUCUCAGUAUAUUGGAUGUUAGUAUUGAAGCUUCGCACAGAGGUAACACAGAAAAUGGAACGGAUUUCUCGACAAUUCAUUUGGGACAGCCAACGGUCACAAGGGAAUGUAAAGCAUUUAUUAAGCUGGAACCACAUCUGUAGAUCACAACCAUACGGUGGUCUAGGAGUUAAAAACCUCAUGACCAUUCUUAAUCAAGCCCUCCUUCUAAAAUGAUGGUGGAGAUUCACUCGUUCCCCACACAAGCCCUAAUGCCUCCUUCUGAAAAGUAUAUACUAUUCUAAAAAACCUAUUUUGGAAUCCUCGAGGCGACUGCUCAGAGUAUCCUCUCUGAUUUAGAAAAAUUUAUUAAAAGCUCCUGGGCCUGUUCAAGCAAUGUUUCCAUCCAAAGAUGAGCAACGGCUGUCAAAUAUCAUUUUGGCACGAUUCCUGGAUCCGAAAUAAGGAACUCAAACUCCUUUUUCUCAAGCCAUAUUUCUUGGCUAGAAAACAAAACAGCUCUGUUAGUGAUAUCCUCUGCCUUUCAAGCUUAUACACAUCUUUUAAAUACCCAAUGAGCUCUCAAGCAUCAAGUGUGCUUCGAAACUUAUCACAUCUACUUCGGAUUGUAUCCCUCUCUUUUGGCUCGGACACAUGUCUCUGGAAGUGGAAUACUAAUGGCAUUUACCAAGUCAAAACUGGCCACAACUUUUUCUUUCAUGGUGGAGUAAUCUCCUGCAUCGAUAAAGUCUUCUGAAAAUUCUCUAUUCCUGAGAAGGCCAAACUCUUUUUCUGGCUCUGCUACCAUGAUAGAAUAUUGACAAAGAAAAAUCUGAUUAAAAGAGGUGUUAACAUUGUCGGAAGGUGCCUCUUCUGUGACGAACAAGGUGAAUCCUUAAACCACCUCAUGCUACAGUGUGAAUUCUCCAAAGCUUACUGGUCUAUUAUUCUAUCCAAUCUUAACGUUCUCGAGCUCCCUCAAUGCUUCUCUAAAGUUUAGGACUCUUGGAGGUACACUCAAAUCAUCAAAACUCGAUUUUUUGCUCUCGAAUGUCUGUUCAUUAUCGCAGCAUGGUGCCUCUGGAAAGAACGCAAUUAUCGAGUUUUUCAAUUCAAAGCCACCACCCCACCGUAGAUGAUUCUAGACUGAGCAAAGCGCCUGGAGAAGCCACAAAAUAGCCACGGUGAAGUAUCGCUUCAGAGUGCAUCUGGGAUAUGGGUACCAGUUCUCCUUAACUCUUCAAAACCAGCUCCAUGGUCCAUUCUAAAGUUCCGCCCACCCUUCGGGUGCUUUCUGAAGCCUAGCUUCUCUUAAGAACCAAGUUUCCCCCAUACUUCGACCAAGACGGUGGGUGCACCACAAGGACCGUUAUUUUACUCUUGGCCCCAUCCAGUGUAGUUUUUUAUCCAGUGCCAAUACUUUUCUCUCCCACCCAUCUGGGCUGAUAUGGCAUUCCCAUGCAAGCAACGAGCCCAACCCAUGUAAUAUUUGCCAACCCCACCUCUUGUAAUGUUUGUAAAUCUCUAUCCACUUCAUUGUACUUAUCCCACUUUAAUAUCAAUGCACUACUCAGCCAAAGUUCCUUA